UGCCAGACUCCUACGGGAGGCAGCAGUGAGGAAUAUUGGUCAAUGGACGGAAGUCUGAACCAGCCAUGCCGCGUGCAGGAAGACGGCUCUAUGAGUUGUAAACUGCUUUUGUACAAGGGUAAACCUGAAUACGUGUAUUCAGCUGAAAGUACUGUACGAAUAAGGAUCGGCUAACUCCGUGCCAGCAGCCGCGGUAAUACGGAGGAUCCAAGCGUUAUCCGGAUUUAUUGGGUUUAAAGGGUGCGUAGGCGGAUUGAUAAGUUAGAGGUGAAAUGUCCGAGCUCAACUCGGGAACUGCCUCUAAUACUGUUGAUCUAGAGAGUAGAUGCGGUAGGCGGAAUGUAUGGUGUAGCGGUGAAAUGCUUAGAUAUUGCGCAGAACUCCGAUUGCGAAGGCAGCAUACCGGCGGCGAUCUGACGCUGAGGCACGAAAGCGUGGGUAUCGAACAGGAUUAGAUACCCCCGUAAUA
rnacentral:rRNA from 1 species